rnacentral:rRNA from 1 species
CGGACGGGUGAGUAACGCGUGGGAACGUGCCCUUUGGUACGGAACAACUGAGGGAAACUUCAGCUAAUACCGUAUGUGCCCUUCGGGGGAAAGAUUUAUCGCCAUUGGAGCGGCCCGCGUUAGAUUAGCUAGUUGGUGGGGUAAAGGCCUACCAAGGCAACGAUCUAUAGCUGGUCUGAGAGGAUGAUCAGCCACACUGGGACUGAGACACGGCCCAGACUCCUACGGGAGGCAGCAGCAGGGAAUCUUGCGCAAUGGGCGAAAGCCUGACGCAGCCAUGCCGCGUGAAUGAUGAAGGUCUUAGGAUUGUAAAAUUCUUUCACCGGGGACGAUAAUGACGGUACCCGGAGAAGAAGCCCCGGCUAACUUCGUGCCAGCAGCCGCGGUAAUACGAAGGGGGCUAGCGUUGCUCGGAAUUACUGGGCGUAAAGGGAGCGUAGGCGGAUAGUUUAGUCAGAGGUGAAAGCCCAGGGCUCAACCUUGGAAUUGCCUUUGAUACUGGCUAUCUUGAGUAUGGAAGAGGUAUGUGGAACUCCGAGUGUAGAGGUGAAAUUCGUAGAUAUUCGGAAGAACACCAGUGGCGAAGGCGACAUACUGGUCCAUUACUGACGCUGA